GCGGGCAUGGUGUAGAGGCAACACGCGACCUUCCCAAGGUUGAGACCGCGGGUUCGAAUCCCGCUGCCCGCUCCG
rnacentral:tRNA from 1 species